AACGAACGCUGGCGGCAUGCCUAACACAUGCAAGUCGAACGAGACCUUCGGGUCUAGUGGCGCAAGGGUGCGUAACGCGUGGGAACCUGCCCUUAGGUUCGGAAUAACUCCCCGAAAGGGGUGCUAAUACCGGAUAAUGUCUUCGGACCAAAGAUUUAUCGCCUUUGGCUGGGCCCGCGUUGGAUUAGCUAGUUGGUAGGGUAAAAGCCUACCAAGGCGACGAUCCAUAGCUGGUCUGAGAGGAUGAUCAGCCACACUGGGACUGAGACACGGCCCAGACUCCUACGGGAAGCAGCAGUGGGGAAUAUUGGACAAUGGGCGAAAGCCUGAGACAGCAAUGCCGCGUGAGUGAUGAAGGCCUUAGGGUUGUAAAGCUCUUUUACCCGGGAUGAUAAUGACAGUACCGGGAGAAUAAGCUCCGGCUAACUCCGUG
rnacentral:rRNA from 1 species